CCAGGGGCUCUGGAAGUUGGGAGCCACAUGUGGAGUCCCUGGAGUGCCUGGAGCUCCCAAGGCAGCCACGUGUCCUCCCUGUCCACCAUCCAGGCCCCCUGUGGUUCAGCUCCCGCCAGUCGCCCAGUCCUGCCGCAGAAGUGGGGCGGCCUUGAUUAAGCAGCCAGUGAAGGGGAACGCCCCAGUUUGCAGUGGCUGAGUCAUCCUGACAUCUCCCUGGUGCUGGACCCCAUCGGGGGGCUGAGGGCGGGGUAGCGGGGCGCGGGUGGACACUGGAGAGCCCCUCUUGGGCAGGUCCUUCAACAUAUCAGUGUAGCUCCCAUGUUGUCAAAAAUAAUAACAAAAACAGAAUAGAGGUGGCAGCUACAUUCUAGGUGCCGUUCUGAAUCUGUGCUUACACACGUUAACUCAUUUCUUCCUCCUAACAAUCCCUCAAGGUGGGCACUGUUACUCUUCUCCAUAGACAGAUGAGGAAGACGGAAGCACAGAGAGGUUGAGCAACUUGCCCCAGGUCACACAGCCAACAAGUCGGCAGAGCCGGGAUUUGAACCCCAUGCAGCCUCAGUCCAGCAUCCUUGCUCUUAACCUCUGAGAAAAGGCAGUCAAGAGCCCUGGGGUGUGUGUGUGCGGGGGGUGUCUCUGUAGCGAUUCAGGUGGCCCCCGCAGCAGAUGGACUGCUGUCCAAACAAACAUCCCUGACAAUCGGGCAGAGCUCCUUCCAGGCGUUAGGAAUCCAGGUUGUGGCAGCCAACAGCUUGUGGGCUGUGUGAAGUGACCUCAGGCCAGUGAAGGCCCCUCCCUGUGCCUCAGUUUCCCUCUCUGCAAAAUAGGGCUCAGAUCACAGCAACUCCGCUGACAGGGGACGGCAGGUUGGAGGAGACAAGGAUGCUACUGACUUGCUUACUUAGCAGAGGGCCUGGCACGGGGCGCCAACUCUAAAUAGUCGGAGCAGCUGUUAUUAUCCCCCCGACAUCCCCUCAUUUGCUGAUCACGGGGGUUAAUUAUAAGCGGCAUUAAAUUAUACACACACAGACGCGCCAACCUCGCUUCCCCAGAACCCCUGAAUUUCCGCAAACUCUCAAUUACCCACGUGACAGCGCGACGAUGGGCCAUCCUCCCAGCCUCUCUCCCCACAGCCUGCCUCAUCCGAGGGUCCCAGGCUUCCAGAGCCAUGGCUUCUCCGCCCGCCGGAUACCCCUCUGGGUGUCCAGGAGCGGAAGGAAGGAUGCAUGCGACUGACUGCGGACGCGUUGAGAGCCAGGGGAGGCAUGUUUACCCACAGCAUCUCAUGUCAAGGCUCGCCGCGACGCAGACUGCGACUGUACUGAUCUUAGAGAUGAGAGAACACAGAGAGGUCAGGCAACCCGCCCUAGUUUGCACAGCUCAAGUGAGGAGGGUGGCUCAAGUCAGGGCUCUGACCUGGAACCCAGAGGGGUAACCUCAUUCUGUAAGUGAGGAAGCUCCUGCACGGAGAACUGAAAGGGAAGAGGGGAAGUCAUCCAGGAAGGAAGGAAGGCAGGCAGGCAGGUGAGAUCUGGGAGAAAAAGGGGAAUUUUCAGUUCUCCAGGUAGGGGGAACAGGAGACAGCUGGCCCUUCCUAUAAGGGGCUUAUGGCAAAGAUCAAAAACAACUUAAAAGGAGCAAGGCCACCCAGAUAACAUAAAGAGUACGAGAUGAAAUCUGUCCCCAUGAAACGGGACAUUUGUGAUCCAGCCCCAGUUACGGCGAUGGGGACCGGAGGAGGGAGUCCCCAUGAUCCAAAAAUCCAGGCUCUGAACCCCCAACCAGGGUGGGAUCCGCGGGAAUCAGAAGGAAACAGGAAGCCGCACAGAAACCUGGGUUUAUUUUCAGAUGUGGAAUAUCCCCUCGGCCUCUGCGGGGCGCAGAGGGUGCCUUGAUUCCGGGGAACAGAAGAGGGGAUUCCACGGCUAGCCCAGAAUAGCACCAGCCCCAAGGUCCAGUCUGGCCAGGCCACGAUGUUGGGGGACCGGCAGCUCCAUGGAGGAGGAGGAGGAGGAAAAAAAAAAAAGAGAGAGACAAAAAUAAAGCGAUGUGAAAGUGGAGGGCCUGUCCGUGAAUCACUCCUACCCGUUAAUUUUCGCCUUUGGAGAAGUGUAAGCCAAUUGAUUUUUCAAAUUCCCCACACACAACCCCCUCCCCAGCGCUUCUCAAAUAUCAGCCAGAGACAAGACAGAAAUGGUACGUCGGGUUUUUUUUUUUCUUCCCUUUUUGGUUGAGAGUCUUUUCUUUCCUUAAAGGAAAAGGGGGGGGGGCGGGGGGGAAACCACACACUCCACACUCUUGAACCUCAGGGUUAGAGAGACCCAGGUGUCACCUGUUUCCUAGACAUUUUGGGGCUGCCACUCUCUGCGUGAGACAACAGCCACCCUUUCCCUCGAUCACAUCCCCUACACUUCACUUCCUCUCUCCGUGUCCCCCUUCCUCAAUUCAGAAUGUCACCUGGUGAUAAGAUGACAUGCAUUUGAGCCUCAAUCCCCUUCCAGCAUCCCCUCUCCUCUGCCCCGCAAGCCACAAGCUGGCAGCUUUCCGAUUCCAGAGCAAGCUUGCCACACGAAUCCUGCGAGGAACAGCAGUUAUGUCUUAAUCUCCUCUCCUCCUGUCCCCACCGGAGGCUGAGCCACUCUGCCUGGGAAGGACGGAGGAAGGGCAACCUGCACAGGCUUUGCCCGAGAAGGGUUCUCAUCCUCCUUGCAAAUUCUAAGAGGACACCCACCCAUUGGAAGGGUUUUCCCUCCCGCUCGCCCCCAUCCCGAACUCUCUCCACGCCCCGCUUCUUCCCCCACGCACACGGCGGCUGCACCGUCACAGAAAGCAGGUGAACGCGGGGCCACGGGGCGCUCGGGUAGAAAUGCCACGUCGCACCACCAAGUCACACCGUCCCUGCCCGUCCCUCUCCGGCCAUCCCACUAACUAUUGUAUUGGGGCCAUGCAGCCGCUGGAAUAAUCAGCGAAGCCACAGGUCUCCCCAUCUUGGCAAGUGGAGGUGUGCGCUGCCCUCAGACAUCUGUGAACCGCUGUUCAACGCCAACCCCGAAGGCAGAAGGGGAAACCAAGUCACCUCCCAGAAAGACGUUUGAUGAGCAGAGAUAGAUUUGCCUCCAGACUGGUACCAGGUCUGGGGAAACCCAGGCAGAGCCCCAGGCUCUAUGCGACCCAAAGAAGAAAAAAAUGGGUGCACAGUGAUGGCUCCAGGUCUCCCCACCCAGAUGCUACCACGAAAUCCCUGGCAUCCACGAAGCUUCCCCCUGUUCCAUGGUGGAAAUUGGGGGAAAAUGGACUUGUGUCUCCAAGCAGGGUCCAUGGACACUGGACGAUGCCUGAAAUCCCCUGGGAGGCAGGGAAAAAAGGCGCACUGAACGCUCAACCGGGGUAUAAGGAGUGAUUUUUUUUUCUCUGCUGGCAGCAGGCAGGAACCUGGGGUUUGAAUGUCCCCUUCUCUGUCGCCACCUCACGCAGACUUCAGAGGCUCUCAAGGUUUCCUGGAGAGGGGGAAAUCGUCCCCGGAGCUGACCUGCCAACCAGUAGCACCCUCCAGCGCCUCAGCCGGGCCACGCCAAAAUGACCUGUCACCCAUCUCCCGCGGGGAGUGGGGAGCGGGCCAGUCCACCGCCUCUUGGGACGGCAUCUCUGGACGGCCACUGACAGUACCAGUCUCUGUCACCCCCUGGGGGGUUAGGGGCAAUGUCAUCGGCCAGGGUGGCAGAAAUAGAAAAGUGCGUGAGCUCACCAGGCAGCCUGGGUCUCCUGCGACGUUUUGUUUGCCUGAGCCCAAUUAGAACAACUCUCAGGAUGAUGGAGUAUGGCGGGCGGUGGCCCCCAGGGGGCUGGGAGGCCUAGCCCCCAUGCAGAAGUGCACCGUCAUGAUGAGGGUGUCCCCCGGGCCUGGGGAACAGGGCAGGACCCUGCUUCCCGGAGGGAAAUAAUGAAGACUCCGCCAGCCUGCCAGCCAGAAAGAGAUGCCCCACGGAAGGCUUUGUGGAGGGCAGCGGGGGGGUAGGGGAGGGAUGCCCAGGUGGGGACUCAGUCAGGCCCAAGCUGGGGGGCUGUGGGAUUUGAGGGCGGGAAGCAGCCGCCCCCAGCCCCAGCUGCCUGCCUUCCACCGCCAAAAUAUCAGCUGGCAAAGAAAGAAGAGCAGAGGGACAGAAGGCAGGCGCGAUUGGCAGGGGGAGGGGGGCACAAAGGAAGGGACCCUGGGAGGGGGAGGGGACUUAUGCAAAUGGCAGAUUCGACCAAGUCCCUGGGCCAUUAAUAAACGCUCCAGCAGCUGCCGCUGGUAUCGCAGGAGCAGAGGAGCGGGAUGGCUUCCUUCUCCCGGGCGAAAGGCGGCAGAAAGAGGGAAGAAGGGCGCCCCAGACAAAGAGGCGCCGUCACCCUCUGCACCCCAAGGACAGCAGCGAUAGGGGGCCACCCAGAGGAGGCCAGAAUCCCAGCAGCCAAAGUCCGGGUGGUGGCGGACGGGAGCCCGGAGCGUGUGGGUCCCUGUCCUUGGGACCCUAGGGGUCUCUUCCUGCCUCCUCCGGCUUCUAGGUAUCAUCCCUGCUGCUCAGCCG
rnacentral:lncRNA from 1 species